AGAAGAGAAGAUAAAUAAAUGUAAGAUUUAUUUAUUAAGCUUUUUAGGUUUUCUCAGGUCAUUUAACAUGUAGGCUAUAUCGAAACAUUCGACUUCCUUAUGUUUUGCAUAAGCGUGAUGAUGAGUGGCAGCUAAGCGUGCAAAAUAUGAUGUGAUACUGUCACAAGAGUAGAUAAAACAUGCUCAUACAGAUACAGGAAUUAAAAUGAAAACACAGCAGAGCAAUGUGCAUGUGAUAUAAAUGAUCAACAUGUGCACAGAGAUGCUGAAAGAAGCAACAUGAUGAAGCGUUCCCAAACCAGACUCAACAACCUCUUAGCAGUAAGAGCACGUUAGUCCACGGAACAAUGAAAAUGUUACCAGAACCACACAGUGCGUACUGCACCUUUAAAAUAUUAAAAUGCUGCCGCUGAUGCUGCAGACACCAUACUGGCAGGUGUUUCAUUUCAGGCAAUCUCAAUUAUGAGCAGGAUCAUUACAGCAAACACCCAUCAGGUUCUGUUUAGUUACUGUCUCACACUGGUUGAUAACAAUUCAAUCAUUUUCUUUUUGUUUUGUUUUAUUUGAGCUGAAGAUCUCAACCUUUCCUAACAGGUCUGAGAUCAGCUUUUGAAAAUUGUAAAUCCAAAUCAAGGAGCAGAGGAAGCCUCCAAACUGACCCAAAGCCAGCUGUUAGGGAUAAACCUCCCUCUGCUCCUCUCUGCUGCCCCUCAGAAAGGAUCCUUUGUACCAGGCCCCAUGGGUGCCUCAGAGCUGUGGUUUUAGCUUUCAUUGACACAAACUUUAGCCAAUAGGACCCUCACCUAUUCAUGGACAGGAAGGGAGAAAACUGCAAGAAAUAACUUGGUUCAGGGGCAGAAAUUCCUAAAUGAAAUGCUCUGCCAUCGUUGAGAUUGCUCGAAUGGUCAAGACCAACCGAGAGGUCUCCUAUCAUGGAAUACUUCACAGCGUUUGGAGGGGAAAAAAAGGCAAAGUGACAAGGUGGACAUCAGCUCCCCUUUCUUAAUCUGGACCAGCUGGUGAUGGCUGGGUUUGGCUCAGCUGGGACCUCCCCAUGAACUCUAACACCUCAUGUCCAAUCUACACCACAAGGCGGCGCACCUGGACAUUCAAAGUGAUCUCUUACCUGCCCACAUGAAGAGACAUGUCAUCUACUUUACUACCACUCCAGCAAAACUCAGCGUGGCCCUCAUACAGCCUUAUAUUACACCCCCACUAUCCAUUCCAUACUGCCAGCUGGGCCUGCAGACGGAUUCCUCCAGAUGUGCUGCACUCUGAUUGGCUGUUUCCUCACUGGCCUCAGUCACUAAGUCUCAUAUUUCCCAUUCUGAUGCAGAAGAAAGCGCUAAGGAUUAUGGGUGGAGUGGAUCCUCUCAUGUCAGGGGUGGCUGUCCACCUGUCAGCCAGCUGUACCAGUAGCGUGCGAUAGCUGGAGAGGGACAGGAAAGGCACGGGAGAGAGAGAGGGGAUGACAUGCAGCAAAGGACCUGGGCUGGAAUCGAACCUAGGCCGCUGCGGUAAGGACUCAGAAGUGCAGUUUCUUGAGGAUCACAGGAAAUGGAAGGACGCAAGGAGUUUCCGCAAGACCUUCAAUGGGACCUACACUUCCUCUACAUUGAGACCCCGUUGCUGUCCUGCAAGAAGGAGCUGGGAUGGAGAGGAUGCUGAUGAUGAGGAAGUAUAUUCCAAAGUCAUGACCCAGGGAAACAAUAUAUAUACAUAUAUAUAUAUAUAUAUAAAGAGAAGCCUGCAGGGAGAUAAUAAAGAUGAAUAUAAAAGGUGCCUUCAGAGAAAGCAAGUACAUGAAAGACAACACCUCCGAUAUCAAACAAGAGUCAGCUUAAUUGAUGUUUAAUUUGAUUAACAGACUCUUAAUUACAUUGAUUUAGUGAACUGUCUCAGAUAAUCUAUAAUUGAACUGAAUCACAUAACUCCUGCUUUUCCAUUUAUAUAAAAUGUGUUUGUCGUCAAAACAAAUUAACAGAUUCAUUACUCUUUAAACUGCCUUCUGGUAUCCAACAAAGUAUCGUUUUUUGGGAGAGGACAUUUAGAAAGUUAAAGUAUGUCUCUGUUUUUCUUUUACUUACAGACAUGAACGCACACACACACACGCAGUGGCACACUCAUCCCUUUUCUCCUCUCUCUCCUAUUCUAAAAAUCCUCCUCCACUCUGACUAUAUCCUCGUUUCACAAGCUCCACAUCAUCACUUCUCCUGACUUUCUCCCCAAGUCGUCCUCUCAUUCUCUUUUCUUCCCUGCCUGUAGCGCAGCUGGUCUGGAUCCAUGGUUUUGGAUCACAGUCCAAAUGUUAGGGUUUGCUGUCCAGAGAAAACACUGUGCAGAGCCAAACAAAAGGAGAAACUGAAGUUACUGCAGGCAACAGUUUUCUGUGUGCUGUGAUACUGUUAAGAGAUACAGAUUUGAAGCACUGCUGUUUGUAUUUGAUAUGGAUCCCCACUGCUUUGUUUCAAAGCUCAGAAAAAGCCAGAUUUGUGCACCAUUUAUUUUAAAUCUGAAUAUAUUGGGGAGUAAUGUCUCUCUUAAAUGACAUAGGAGGAGGCCAAUCUGAUGCCGCAGCAUGAAGUCCCUCCUCCUCCCUGCUGCAAGUCAAACCUGUCUGUGACUGAAAACAAAUGUUGCACUAAUAACCCUCACAAGUACUGAAUGUUAAAGAGCCCUAGUUGUUGGGCUGACAAAGGUAAGUUUGUGCAAAUACACACAGUGAGGUUAUUAAAUCAGUGCACUAGAGGAAAAUACUGAUAAAAUAUUGCUUAUUGCACUGGCUGAUUUGCAUCUGCAGUCCCUUGGCAGCAUUUAAAAACACAUAAUUUUACUAGAUAUUAAACAAUACAGUACACAAUAAAAUACAAAUAAUACAUACAGUGCAUGCAUGUGCAUGUAACAUAACAUAUCAAAUUAGCAGCGAUAUAAGUAUAUUUAUUCCCAUGCUUCUUUUGAAAAUAAAAGACAGACAUGUGUUCUUAAAUGACAAUCCAUUUAUUACCAUGGAUUUGGAGCAUUAAAGAAACUUAAUUUAGGAAAGUGGAAUACACUAAUUGGUGAAAAUGUGGCUUGCUUCAGGAAAACCCCAGGUGAGUUCCUGCUGAGUGUCUGUAACCACAGGUACUGUGUUUAGAAGUUAGUGGCUGACCAAGUAUGUUUAUUACAGUCCUCACAGACAAACAGGCCUCAUGGUGGCUUGUGGUUUGUGCAGGUAAGGGUUGUUACACAUCACUAUAGCACAGUGCAGCCUUUAAAACAACACAGGUACAUGUGAAAAGGAAGUAGGCGCUGUAUUGAUAAUAUAGAUAGAGAAAACCACAAACACAGUACAGUAAUAAAUGCCAAGCCUUUAAUUUUCUCCUUUAUAUGUGUACACUCAUAUAUACAGUAUUGUAAAGAACACUAAAGAAGAUAAUUAGACACAUUUAUAAUUUCCCUCUGUGUUAACAAUAGAUCUGCUUCAGGUAAGUCUAUGAAAUGAAGGUCUCAGUAACAGCAGGACUUCCAUAUAAAGGGAUUAUGUUUAACUUAGCUAAUCAGCAAAUUGCUCAAAGUUUAUGCGAGUACUCUGACAGUAAUAGUGUUCUCCACAGAAGCUUGUUGCUCGGCUUGAAAUGCUUUAUGUUUCCUGUGUAUAUUCCUAUAUAUAUGUUGCUUUGCAUAGCUGUGGAAAAAAUAACUGUAGGUUGUUGCUCUGUGAGAAAAAAAUGCCUCUUAGAACAUAAGAUGAAGAAAAUGUGUGUUUUAGCAUGAUAGGUCAUGUUAAAUGUAUCUGACAAACACUAACAUAAUAUGUGCCUGUGUUUGUUUCUGGUUGUGUGUACAUGUGUGAAUGUUAUUAGAAGCUUGUGAAGCUGUGCUGCUGGUCAUGGUUGGUGAUCAGGGUCAUCUGUGCCUCCAUCAAACUCCCCUCAACACUAGAGCAAUUUUCUUUAUGCAAAAUAAUUUGGGUGUGUGAGAUCACUUAUGCAGGCUUCUGUUUUGUUUGUGUAUACAUGCAUGUGCGUGAGAGAGUAAAUUCAUGUUUGUGUGUACAUCCCCAGCAUGGAAAAAAAAAGCCUCCUCCUCACCUGGAAUACAUUACAUCCUCAUGGAACCAUGUGGUGGGCACAUGAGUCUUAAAGUGGCAGGGGUCGUCUUUCCCACAUUACAGUCAUUAGUAGUUCGCCCCCCCGCCAGGCUGGCUGUUUGGACCGGCCCGAUGACAUUGGCCCGAUGACAUCAUCACAAGCUGGGUGAGGUGGACCCCUUGUUGUCUUCUUAGGGCGAUGUAAUAGCUUCAGCUACCUUUCUACUCCCAGUUGCUAGUCAAGGUGUCAUCUGAGGCUAAGUACUAGGUUAACAUAAAACACUUGUUUUAGGUAACCAGUACAACAAAGAGUAAUGUUUUUAAAUUCUCAUCUUUCUGAAUUAGGGUCUUGAAUUGUGCAGGAGGGAUGAUUUUUUCCAAGCCUCCAGUGCACAUCAAAUACAACCAUCUACAGAAUUAGUUAUGGUUUUUGGGAAGUCUUCCUAAUUUAACUAUAGGAGGGGUUUGUGUUGAUCUACAGUGUAUGUAGGCCGCUAGAUCCACCAGACUCAGUGUGUGUGUUUAUGUGUGUUAACCUCCUCUGCUGGUUACAUUUGGAGGUUUGGCUGAUGAUGGAAGAAAUUCCAUUUGAGAAUUACAGAUGGUUUUAUUUUUUUUCCAGUUUCUUUUGUCUCGCCCCUCCCACUCUCUCUCUGGAUGUCUUUCUCUCUCUGUGUCUCGCUCUCAUUUCUUGAGUCCUCAAUGGAAAAUCACCAUCAUAGCAAAUGCUAGCCUGCGCAUCUGUUCAAACUAACUUAGAACGUAGCUGUGUUUUCAUGUAACCAGUUGUUGAAUUUCAAAGCCAUGUCCUAUAAAUUUGCCACCCUACUUAUUACCAAGACUAGACGAAAUGUAUGACCAAUAUUUAUCAUGACAAUGCACGCACACAGUCCAUGUCCCUCCUUUUGUCAGACGAAUGAGCCAGAGGCUGCAAGCAUGAACAAAAGGGGGAGAGAUAAAGAGAGAGAGGGGGUCUAACAUUGGGUUUAGAGAGGUUGAGAGAAGAGGCUUAAGUGAGAGAGAGAGGUUAAAGAAAUAGACAGAGAGAGGGGGGAGUAAAGGGAAGGGAGGAGGUUUCAGUGUAGAGCAGGCAGCCCCUGACUAAAGCAUGAGUACAUGCCUGUUGGCUGACGUCGACUGUGAAAGUUCUACAUCUGGUUAAAAUCUACUGCCUCUGCUUUCCUUCCUCUACUUCCCUGCUUCUUCUCCUUCUUCACUUUUCAUUUUAAGUUCACCUCUUCUGUUUUUCUUAUUUGCACUUAUUCCAUUUCCUAUCUCCUCUAUGUUGCCUGAUUGCUCUGUGUUUCUUUGUCCUUUCUCUUUGUGUCUCUGUCCACAAAGACAAACAUAGAUAGAUGGAAUGAGAAACAGGAGGAGGCAUCUGAACCCAUUUCCCCUGUUUCAGUGUUGUUUGGAGGAAAGAGCGUUGCCAUUUUUCCAUUUGCCAAAGUGUUUUGCCAUUUUGCUCUUAUUCUGUAGUUCUGCGCCUACCCUCCUCCCACUUUUAAAAUGUUUUGUAACUAAAAUGUUCAGAUAACAAGAGUAGAAAGUGGAUUCUUCAUGAACAAACAUUCAGUUUAGCUGGAAUAGUUCGACAUAUUGGGAAAUACGCUUUUUUGCUAUCUUGCUGAGAGUUGAAUACCACUUUCUUGUCUGUAUGCUAAAUAUGAAUCUACUGCCAGGAGCCAGUUAUCUUAGUUUAGCACAAAGACUGGAAACAGGGGGAAACAGAGCCUGGCUCUGUCCAUAAAGCUCACAAAUUAACACGUUGUACCGCAUUUCUUUAAUCUGUAUUAAAACUGUAAAAAUGUAAAAGUGUAGAAAUGACACAGAGGUUAUGGUUAAACAGGAUUAAACAAACAAGAUAUAACCUGUUUGUUUGGACAGAGCCAGGUGAGCUGUUUUCCCUGUUUCCAGUCUUUAUGCUAAACUAAGCUAAGCUUACUGGUUGCUGACAAUAGCUUGAUAUUUACCAUACAGACAUGAGAGUGGUAUUUAUCUUUUCAACUAACUCCCGGCAAGUAAGCGAUUAAGAGUGUUGCCCAAAAUUUUGAACUGUUUCUUUAACAUGAUGAUCGAUUCUGAUGUGUUGUCUCAUAAAUACUUUGAAAAUAAAUAUGAAAAUGAGCUUAAUUUGUUACCUUUGCAACCCAGAAAAUGUCCAGAUACACUAGCCUUUUAAAGCCAAUUGGCUCCUAUUAUUAUGUUGAGAAAGGAAGUGUCCCUUCAACUAUCAGCUGACUAACUCCAGAGUUUGCCUUGUCAUGCAGGAAAGUAUUGUCUCUUUUGUAUUGUAUCUCUCGCAAGAGAUAAUUUACUAAGAAAAGGAAAAUAACGCAUGAAUUCUACUUUGGAGUUAGCACAAACUAGCAUGAAUUUGUCCAAGAGUGGAAGUUUUAAAUGAAUCAGUAUUUCCAUUGUGUGAGUGUCACACAGAUGAAUCUACUAUGGAGCCUUAAGGUGGACAUGACUUAAAACAACAAACCUUUUGCAUUGAGCAAAUGACAAAAGAACAAGGUGUUUGGUCAGACAGCUGAGUGCUGGUUUUAUAAUGUCAGUAAAGACUAAUGGAUGAGACCUUGUAAUGAAACACUGUGGUGGUCCCGACUUGUAUUGACUCCCAGCCAUUUCGAGGUUUACAGGGGGCAGGGGGACAGGUAUGAGCUUGUCACUCUCUCUCUUUCUCUCUCUCUCUCACAUACAUAUACACUUUUCCUUCUCUACAUCUGUCUACCUUUCCUCUUUUCUGUUGCUGUAUUUUAGAAAGGCCUAAUGAAAAAUGUAUUCACUUCAUCAAAUGUAACUUCCAUUUUUGACAGGUUUUACAUUUUAAAUGUUUGACUGGUUGGAAACAAAGUUUGUCUUUCUGUCCUUUUCUAUCUCUUAUUCUAUUAUUCCCUCUUUGUCAUCUCUCAGUUUCUUUAAUCUUCCUCUGUCUUUUCUUUUUUAUGUAAAAUAAUCACACACAUGCCACACACACUUCAUAGCUUCAGGGCGUGUCCACUCUUCACCCUGUUCAGUUUGUUGACCAGAGUCAUAAUGCCGGGGCGGAGUCUGAAUUAAAGGAAAAAAUCUUUUCUUUUCCUC